AAUUUUUCCACAGUGCUCUAAGACAAACAGGUGCCUCAGUAGUCUCAGAGUGUUCUAAAUAUUUUGAUAUAAAAUACUUGGGUAUUAUAUGAUAUGCAAGCACUUUGAAAGGUUCAUUUAAAAACUGUUGUAAAAAAAUCAAUAAAGACGUAAAUAAAUACAGAGACGUCUCCAGAAUGAGCUGGUCUCUUGUUGGUAGCCAGUCCUGCAUUAGAGUGGUUGUGGCCCAGUAAGAUGAGAUGAGGGGGUCAUACUACUUAGAGUCAGAAAAUUACACCAACAACAAACUACUACACUAUUAACUAAGCUUUGUGCUACUAAAAACUCAUUAUGCUUUGCCCAGAUUAGUCAACAUAACUAAUAUGACUGUAUGUCGAGUCCUAAACUUUACCACCUUUUGAAAGACACACAGACAUCAAUGAAAAAAUAUUUGAUUCCCUAUCUCACAGAGCUCUUUCCUUCAGCCCUGGUGGUCCACGACCUGCCUGGUACAUGUUCAGGUCACUCUGCAGGGAGUUGGGGUUGAUGCAGACAGGCCCAAGAAGAGUCUUCAGGAAGCUCUCCACAUCUGAAUAUGUUGGAUUACAUGUUACGCUGUGUUUUAGUGCUAGUGUUUAGUGUACAACCAAUGGUCACUAACCAAGAAAUGUAACCCAUCAUGCACUGCACUUGUGCUGAAAGAGAGAAAAGUGGCCGCAGUGGGAAAAUUAGAACCAACAAAUGUAAAUAAUUUUCCAGUUAACUUUUGAUAGUAUAAGUUUGUUUAACAUUUUAUUAGCCACGUGAUAAACUCUGAAUUUAAUGUGAAUGCAUUAUGCAAAAUUGUGCAGUUUCCCCAGCAGGGGGUGUAGUCUGACCACUGAGGUCUGACGCUAGAGUUAAUUAUCUGUGUUCAGUAUAAACAGGCCGAGCAUCCUUUUCAUCUUCUCACAAUUUGACGACGUCUUGCUUUUCUAGUGAGAGCAGCACGUCUCAGCUUUCUCCGUCUGAUAAUUCUGUUUUCUUUCUCCCUUCAAAGAUGAACUGUUUAGAUUUUGGCGGUUAAAAGUCAAACUCACUGUGGCCUCACAAAAUCUGUUUUUGGCCAUAUCUCAAGAAGUGUGGUCUCAGGUUUUUGGACCUGCAGACUCACUCUGUCAUAAAUAUGUAAAUAUGUGUAACUAGGCUCAGGCUCACAUUGCACGCAAAUAAUGUUUGAUUGGACAAAAACCUUUUCACCCACUGACAAGAUGUCCUUAUGACUUAUUAACCAACCUUCAUGUUUAGAAUUAGUUUGCUAAUGUAAAGCACAUUUUACUUGAAUUAAAUGUAAUGUUAAGCUGAUACACUAAUGAUUUUCUCUGCUCUGUGUUCUUGAGGAAAUUUAUCAGCUGUAUGGAUUUACAGGUGACAAUGUGUGACUCCUGAAAAGACAUCACCUACAGCCAAGGAGGUUCAUCAGGAUAAAUCCAGAGAGAGGCACUGAGGCUUGACGGGGCAAAGUCGCUCAGAAAAAGAUGAGACGAGUCCAAGUCCUUCACUUUUUCUACUGGUAUUAUAUUUUCACUUAAAGGAUGUCUUAAAGUCUUUAUGUGUUAAACAUGUGGAAUGAAUGCAGGCUGAAUCAUAGCUGUGUCAAUAAAACAUUAUUGUUUAAUGUUUGUCAUUAAUCAUGAAUCCACAACACAGCAGUUUGUUUAGUGAGUAGGAAAAAAAACGUGAGUAUUUACAUCUACUGUCAUACACGUCACAGUUUAUACCCAUGCUAACACAAUAAAGACUUUUAUAUACAAGAAAUACUUAUUAGCAUCAUUGUACAAAGGAAUACCAUCAUAGUAACUCACUGUCUGGAUUUGUCGUUGAUGCAAAAUACACAAAAUAAUAAUAAACCUCCCUCAGCUGCCCUGAAAUAAUCUGAAUAAUUAGACAAAAGGAACUCGUAUUGUUUGCUGUUGUCUAGGUUUAAAAACGGUUUUACAUCAGAAAGUACAAGGCAAGACAAUCACAGUCUACAUGUGUACAAGGUUUGCCCUUUAUGAUCAGUAUAAAUACACUCUCCUUGUUUAUGUACACAGAAAUCAUCGCGUCUCCUCUGUGCACUGAGCAUCGACUCUCCCUUCACAUUCCUCCUUUCAGCUGCAGCGUUUACACAAAGCAAAAAAACUCAAUUUAAAAAAGCGAAUGGUGUUCAGUGGUUUCAGUGUCACAUCAUGCUCACUGCCAGUCUAACCUGUGCAUCGCUAAGACACAAAAAUCUUUUCAGACUGUUUCACAGACUGGAUACAACGUCAAGCGUCUCGACUCUUUGCUUUUGUCACUUUUUUUAAAGUUCCAACCUUUAGCAAAUGUCCCUGCUCUCACACACAAACACCUCAGUAAAACUUUAACAAACAGCUGAAGAAUUCAAACUGGACAUCAUGUUAAAAGCAUCUGAUCGUGAGGGACGUUUGCAUAGUUUAUCCUCAACUGACGAGCUCUGAUUCUCUCAACAUAAUCUUAAUUGUAAUGUUUGUUUUCUGAAGACAUGAGGACUUAGGCCUGUGUAUUUAAUAUAUUUAACUCUGUCUGACCAUUGGCCUGGAACAUAAUAUCACACCAAACAAGUCCUCCGCUCUCUCUCUCAAGUCAAACAAGGUCAAAAUGAACCAAACUGUCCUGAUUCCCCACACAACUACAACUACUUCAAACCCAUCCAUUAGUAUUAACAUUCUGAAUCAAACCUGUCUGUAAUUUCUAGCAUCUGAUUGGUCGGAUUUCACUGUUAGAAACAAGAGGAAGCUUCCACAAAGUGAUUUUUAAAUGGCUGUCAGUGCAUGACACCACAGCUGGAAACCAGUGAGUACUAGUACUGCAGUCUGUUCUUCCAAAACAUGAAGUACUCAAAGUACUGUGGCUGGAAUGAGUAUUACAACAACAAACACAGAACUGUAGAGAGAUCAUUCUGGCAAUACAUGGUUCCUUUAGUCCCAAACUGAACCCCACCAAACAUCUGUCUCCUACAC